rnacentral:tRNA from 1 species
GAAGAAAUAGCUCAGUGUGGCAGAGCACAUGCCUAGCAUGCAUGAGGUCCUGGGCUCAAUCCCCAGUACUUCCA